GCUCAAGUGGUGGAAUUGGUAGACACGCUGGACUUAAAAUCCAGUGGGCAGAAAUGCCCGUAUGGGUUCAAGUCCCAUCUUGAGUACAA
rnacentral:tRNA from 1 species